GCCAGAGGGUGCAAACGUUGUUCGGAAUUACUGGGCGUAAAGCGCGUGUAGGCGGCUUGGCAAGUCGGGUGUGAAAGCCCCGGGCUCAACCUGGGAAGUGCACUCGAAACUGCUUGACUUGAGUACUGGAGAGGGAAGCGGAAUUCUCGGUGUAGAGGUGAAAUUCGUAGAUAUCGAGAGGAACACCGGUGGCGAAGGCGGCUUCCUGGACAGUGACUGACGCUGAGACGCGAAAGCGUGGGGAGCAAACAGG
rnacentral:rRNA from 1 species